rnacentral:lncRNA from 1 species
GUUAGUGUUCUAUCUCCCUUCUUCGAUUACGUCUGCGCGUUAUGGAGGUGAAAGUUACAAGCUUCGAGGAGAUCAUCGAGACCUAGCUACUCCGGAGACGACAUGGAAAUUCCCGGCAUCCGAGGUAACGAGGAGAACCUCACCUUCCCGUGAUCAUCGCUUACGGUAGAGAACAGGAAUCGAUACUUAGUGUUUACUAAAAGCAAAUUAGCGGAAUGUGCCGGGUUUAGUGGGCGGGCAUAGCUAGUUGUUGUAAUAUGUAGACUUGGGUACUUUUGUUUGAAUCGAGCUUGUAACCGUA